rnacentral:lncRNA from 1 species
UUUUUUUUUUGACAGAGGUGAGAUUUUCUGUUUUUAAAACAAGUACCUGGUCGUUUAACUGGAUUUGCCAUGAAGAGCAAUAACCUUUUUUUUACCAUUCUCCUUGCCCCUGCAGCCGGGACGACAAAGGGCCGGCUUCCCCACCAGCUUCCCCACCGGAAUCAUGGGAAGAAAUGCUAGUAAAGAGACAGAUUCUCCUGUACAGCACAAAAGAGAACGGAUGACAUCUCUCUAUAGAGACUAUAGGACUGAGUCAGGGCAGAGACAGAGGCAAAGGAAGGGAAUGGAAGGUCUAAGGUCACUCCAGAUCAGAGUUUACCUGGAAAGCACCCAGUUCACAAAAGGGGUUACCAAUUCUGUCAGGAGAAAGGCCUACAGUAACAUAGACGUGUCUGUGAUAGAUAACUACCUCUUCUGACAACAUAUAUCAAACUUGGAGCCAGUGUCUACCUCAUGCCCUUUCCCAACCACCAUUGGCAGAAGCUGAGUCAGCACUAUAAGAAGCCAACCAGGGCCAAAGAGAUGAGGGUCAGUAGUAAGACUACAGCCAUAUGGGCGUAGGUGCCAAUCUAUAGCUUCUCUAAAGAUGUAGUCGUGGGAACUCAGUGAUAUGGAACUUGAGGGACUGAGGAUGUGCCUGUGAGUAUGGAUGGGGAUGCGUAAGGCAUUGCUGAUCCUGGUCUAGUUACCAUCCAUCCUGUGUUUAAUUAAUGAAGAGUAGCAUCUAAUGAGCUGAGAUGAGGAGUGAUGCAGACAAGUGAGCCUAGGAGUGUACCUGCCUUCUGAUCCUCUAGCUCACGGAUGUGUGCUAGCGAUGGCUAAGCUGCCGCAGGGCAGCGUGUGUAUGAGACUGGGGAGGCUCGGCAUGCACACCAGACUCGGCUUCAUAGCGUCUCACAACGGAACAGCACACACGCACACCACUAGGCAUCCAAAAGAUGCUCCCUUCAGCACCUAGGAGCAGGGAGGACUCAGGUCGGAGCAGGGCUGAGUCUUCAUUAGGGAGACAGGGAUGCUGUGUUUUGGAUUCAGGGUUUCCUGCAGGUGUCAGACCCUAGCUAGGUACUACCUGAAAUGACCAAGAUGCCAGGAAAAAAAAAAAAGAUUUUUUUUUUUUCGGCCAGGAUUUCAAGAUUGAACAAUAUCAUUUUAAGAGUAUAGUCAUAGCAUUUUAGACAGGGAGAUUGUACAAAGUCAAAUUCUUUGCAAAAUAAAUUUUCAUCCAAUUAAAUAAAUACCCACAAAAUCAACCCCAGCCAUAACAUCUUUUCCUGUUUGAGUUUGCUGCAGAGACUAUACUUGGAGGUGACACCACCACCAUUUGUGUCAGGUUGAUGAACAUAUAAUUUACCUCUUUCACAAUCAGUUCUCAUGUUUGUUAUCAAUGAAUUUGCCAAGAUUAGCUUGCACUAAAAAUGUUCACUAUAAAAUAAUAAUGCUGAGAUAGAAAGUCCACUUUGGCUGGUCCCCUAAAAUUCACAUUCUGCAAUGUGUCAACCUUGAGUCUUGGGUUUUGAGUUACCCUUGACCUAAGGGUUUUGUAAUUUGUCUCCUUUGGGCUAUAUUGUUGUUUGAAUUACAAAAUUCACUUAUGAAGAGCUGUUUAUAAAUACAAUCUCAAAUGAUAUUACACAUUCAGGAGCUCAUCUGACUUUGUUAUGAAGACAGAAAAGAACACUUCAGGGCUCCGUUCCAGUUUCUGUGCAAAUCUGUAUAAAUCUCUUUGGUGUAGUAAUUCAAGAAUCCUUUGCAGAUGAGAAUAACUGAACCAGCAUAUUACAGACAGAAAGCAGUGAGAGGAAGUUUGAUUGUAACCUGAAAACAAUGUGGGUUUGGUUGAUGUUCUCAGUCUCUUUGAGAAGGCUGAGCCACACACAUGAAGUUCCCUUUGUCACUGAGACUAGGUGGCCUGCGGUGACAGAGCAGGAGUGGACAGGUCCUUUCAAGGUUUGCUGAGUUGCCUGAAGUUUUUAUAAAAUGAAGAAACUGAGCACAGGAGAUCUGUACCUCUUUGCUCAUUUCUUAAAUCUAAGGAUGAAAAAAAAUCCAUUAGAUAUUUUGUUAAAACUAUGAUACUUGUUACUUGAAAAACAUUAAAUUCUGUAUAAAUUACUGAAAAUUCAGAAGUAGAAAUUGACCACCUAGAGUCUUUAACAAAAAUUAACUUUUAUAUGGGAAACUUGUUUUGACACAAAACUAAUGACCUAUUUAUCUUCCUGUGGAACUAUGAAAGUAAUAUAAUAUUAUCUUAUUUAAAGCAAAAUGAAAAAUUAGAAAGCCUGUUGGGGUAUCACAGUGACCCCAGGGUCCCAUGUCUAUUCUACAUCGACUGGAACUCAGAGCGACAACCACACCCUGCUAGAAAGCCAUCUGAAAAUACUUUCUUUCCUGAAGUAAAGAUUUAUCUUAAAUUUACAGGAACUUUCUUUGAAAGACUUUACCCUAAGAUCUGUAUGUUAUUUUAAGUAUCUGAAUGAAAUAUCUAUGAGAAAGGUAACAUAUUCUAUGACUGCAUUUACUGGUAGAUGGGUGAGAAAACUGUACCGUAGGAUUAGUGUGUUUUGGUUACAUUUUAUAAGCCAUGAGGGAGCAAGACCCAGUUCCCUGGUUCUAGUUCUGUCAGCAUCUCAUUUGGUUCGUUUAUUAUGUGUGCCGUGACUUCUCACACAAGUGAAACAGAAAAUUUAAAACAGUUACAAAUCAGAGUAUUCAAGUAUUUACACCUUGGUCCUCGGGGCUUAGAGGAAAAUAAAAUUUGAAGGUAGAUGAUAUACUUUAGUACAAGAGCUCAGGGGAGAGAGUGCAUGCUGCUCUCCUUGUGAGGCAGAUUUGGGUGGUGUCGGAGCCCUGUGAGAGUCAUGGGAACCGGUUCAGGCUGGGAUCCCAAAUGUGUUCCAGGGAAUGAGAGAACUGUUGGAGG